rnacentral:lncRNA from 1 species
GACCACGAACAGAGCACUUUUCUGGAACGGAAAGGGUGAGGACUCGCAGCAAAGUCAUGCCUACAGAGCUGGAUUCAGUGUGGUUGCCACCCUCGAAGAGCGACAGAACAAGUCAAAACUCCUCAGAGGAUGGUGUCCAGAGCAGGAAGAGGAUUUCACUGUGUGUCACAUUUGGGACUCUCAGAGUAACUGAGCCUACUUAUCUGGAGAAGCAACCGAAGGCGUGACUAUCUGGCUGCAGGACCAGACAGACAGAAACCUCCAUUUGCAAAUGGCACCCAACAUGAGGCAUAAACCCACAACCCUGGGAUUAAGAGUCCCAUGUUCUAGCUGGGCCUUGCGUCUGCAGAUCCUGCAUGGUGGCUGGUUGAACCAAGUGUCCACUCACUGCUGCCAAUCCUUGUGGAAGUGGGUCUUCAGGAUCAUGACAUUCCGGCUGGGCACCAUGGCUGCCUCCUGUGCAAGAGAACGGCCAAGUGCAGUAGAUGGUGAGACAAUGUCAGCAGUAGCAAGUGGUGUAGUGCCAUGUGGGUAGGAAGUACAUGAAGCUGAGAAGACAAAGGGCUUGAUCUUCGAUGGGCAAGUUUGACUACUGAUAGAGAAGCAGCUGGGACACCCCCCCCCCCAACCCAGGUAGUCCAAGGGGGUCAGGAAUCAGGAGUGGGGAUGUCCUUUUGACCUAUGAGGGCACGGUGGUGCAUACCCUUAGCGCCAGCAGGUGGAUCUUUGAAGAUUCAAGGCCAGCCUGGUCUACAAAACAAGGUUCAGGCCAUCCAGAGCCACAUGAUGAGACCCUGCCACCACUACACCUACCCCCAACCUCCCAUCAAGCACCCACAUUGUGGACAUCCAUUCAGUUACAGGGCUCCAAGAGGUCCUGGUUGAAUUUCCUCCACAGGUUGAAGCUGGUCAAUCUCUUUGACAACUAACAGCUAACAAAAUCCAAGGAGGGACCUCAGUGGGAGCAGAGUACAAACACCAUCUCUAUGAGGCUCCAUGUGCAAGGGAUGUGAGCAGAAGCAGCGUUCCAGGGGAAGCGUUAUGGAGCAAUUGAAUAUCAUAUUCCUGGAGUGACAUGUUGCAAAAAACUGCUGUCUGAUCUAUGCC